rnacentral:rRNA from 1 species
CCUACGGGCGGCAGCAGUGGGGAAUAUUGCACAAUGGGGGGAACCCUGAUGCAGCGACGCCGCGUGCGUGAAGAAGCAUUUCGGUAUGUAAAGCUCUAUCAGCAGGGAAGAAAAUGUCGGUACCUGAAUUAAGAGCCCCGGCUAACUACGUUCCAGCAGCCGCGGUAAUACGGAGGGGGCAAGCGUUAUCCGGAUUUACUGGGUGUAAAGGGAGCGUAGACGGCAGUGCAAGUCUGGAGUGAAAGGCGGGGGCUCAACCCCCGGACUGCUCUGGAAACUGUACGGCUGGAGUGCAGGAGGGGUAAGCGGAAUUCCUGGUGUAGCGGUGAAAUGCGUAGAUAUCAGGAGGAACACCGGUGGCGAAGGCGGCUUACUGGACUGUAACUGACGUUGAGGCCCGAAAGCGUGGGGAGCAAACAGGAUUAGAUACCCGGGUAGUC